rnacentral:rRNA from 1 species
GACGAACGCUGGCGGCGCGCCUAACACAUGCAAGUCGAACGAGCGAGAGAGAGCUUGCUUUCUUGAGCGAGUGGCGAACGGGUGAGUAACGCGUGAGGAACCUGCCUCAAAGAGGGGGACAACAGUUGGAAACGACUGCUAAUACCGCAUAAGCCCACGACCCGGCAUCGGGUUGAGGGAAAAGGAGCAAUCCGCUUUGAGAUGGCCUCGCGUCCGAUUAGCUAGUUGGUGAGGUAACGGCCCACCAAGGCGACGAUCGGUAGCCGGACUGAGAGGUUGAACGGCCACAUUGGGACUGAGACACGGCCCAGACUCCUACGGGAGGCAGCAGUGGGGAAUAUUGCACAAUGGGGGAAACCCUGAUGCAGCGACGCCGCGUGGAGGAAGAAGGUCUUCGGAUUGUAAACUCCUGUUGUUGAGGAAGAUAAUGACGGUACUCAACAAGGAAGUGACGGCUAACUACGUGC